AUUGCUCCCUCUCCACAUGUGCGUGGACAUCAAAGGUGGGGACCAUAGGUCGCUCUACUCAGCUGGUGCGUCUGGGGCAGAAUUGGUCUCAAAUACCAAGCCAGCACUGGGUCUCGGCUAGGGAGGGAGCCAGAUGAAAGGGAGAGCAGGGGGAGGGAGGGGAGAGCAGAGGAGGAAACAAGGGUGCAUCAAAGGGCCCUUCCUCCUGCUUUGCCAGGUUUGCUGUCCAUGUGCAAGGCCCGGGGUGGGAUGGGGGUCUUCAAAGAGGAGCCUUCGAAGAGCUCAGCCAUCCUCUCCCGGACGCCAGCGCGUUCCCGAGCAGAGACCCAGGGCUUCCGAUGGGAAUCGGAAAACAAUAGAAAAUCUGCCACGGGAUGCCGGGAAACAGGUGACCCGCCAGCUCUGCUGACCCUUCUCAGACUUGAUGCCAUUUCUCUUCACCUCCGACCUGCGAGGUGGCAUCGUGGUCCCCAUUUCCGGAAGACGGAAUCAGUAGUGACCUGUUGAGAGCCACUCAGUAGAGCGGCCUCCCCACUGUCCAUGAGGGUGCAUGCGACUCCGGGAGGUUUAGCCCCACCACGUGGGACUUGGGAUGGAGGCUGUCCUAUUAGGACACGUGUUCAUCUCCGAAGCCAGCAGAGCCCUAAAACCAAAAUACAUCUUCUCAGAGUUCGAGAGGCUCGACUUCCAAGAUCAAGGUGUCCGCGGGGCUGUGCUUUCUCUGGGCGGCACCACCGCGAUGAAGAAAGGACCCUGGCUCAGGGUCAGAGGUGCUGAUUCCGAGUCUACAUGAGCUGCACGACUGAAGUUACCUCUCCGGGCUUCUACUUGCUCCCUGCCAGACGGGAAGGCAAUCCUCGGCGGCGACAGCAGCCGCUACGAGCUCCUUGGCUCAUCCAGCGAUUGCCCUGAGCCGGAGCCCGCAUCCUGAUCCUGCGCCGUGCGUUUGAGGCACCAUCUCUUACAACUCGCUGGCCACAUGUGGGGAAAGCAAAGUCGGUGGCCAGCAGGGAACGGAAGGCAGUCUGUCCACUUCUCGCUGUCAGACUGUCCCCUUCAUGACCCAGGAGCCCGACAGGAGGCCCUUGUGAGAAAUUUCUAUUAGGCCUCCGUAAAAGCUCUCCUCUGGAGGGAGUGGAUGGCUUCCAAUAACCACUCGCCCGGCACCCUCAGCUUCCAGGCACAGAUCAUAAAGAUGUCUCCCUGCCCUCUAGAGACCGAAGGCUGGAGUCUGCAGGAACAUUCUGUGGGGAUUCAGAUCUCCUAGGAAUAUUCCACAAACAAAGCUAUCAAAUAAACAGGUAUCAUUUGUUGGUUGUGAUGCUUGUAAGGGGUACACUUGAAACACGGUGAGUGUCAGUGUCCUUAGA